CCUACGGGAGGCAGCAGUGAGGAAUAUUGGUCAAUGGGCGCGAGCCUGAACCAGCCAAGUAGCGUGAAGGAUGACUGCCCUACGGGUUGUAAACUUCUUUUAUAAAGGAAUAAAGUAAGCCACGUGUGCCUUUUUGUAUGUACUUUAUGAAUAAGCAUCGGCUAACUCCGUGCCAGCAGCCGCGGUAAUACGGAGGAUCCGAGCGUUAUCCGGAUUUAUUGGGUUUAAAGGGUGCGUAGAUGGGUUGUUAAGUCAGGUGUGAAAGUUGGGGGCUCAACCGUAAAAUUGCAAUUGAUACUGGCAGCCUUGAGUACAGUUGAGGUAUGCGGAAUUCGUGGUGUAGCGGUGAAAUGCUUAGAUAUCACGAAGAACUCCGAUUGCGAAGGCAGCUUACUAAACUGCCACUGACAUUGAUGCUCGAAAGUGUGGGUAUCAAACAGGAUUAGAUACCCUUGUAGUC
rnacentral:rRNA from 1 species